UCUGCCUGACGUAGACGCUAUUCCCUAAGAUUAACCCAUGCAUGUUUUUGACAUUUGAAAAAUGGACUGCUCAGUAAUACUCACUUUAUUUUAUGUAAAUUUUUAAUUAACUACGUUAAAGUGUAGAUAAGAUGUUUACAGUAAGAGUGAGACCUAUCAGCUAGUUGUUAAGGUAAUGGCUUAACAAGGCUGUGACGGGUAACGGUAUUACUUUGUAAUAUUCCGGAGAAGGAGCCUGAGAGACGGCUACUAAGUCUAAGGAUUGCAGCAGGGGCGAAACUUGACCUAUGGAUUUUAUCUGAGGCAGUUAUGGGAAGUAAUAUUAUAUUGUUUCAUAUUUUAAAAGUAUAUGAGGUGAUUAAUUGGAGGGCAAAUCAAGUGCCAGCAGCCGCGGUAAUACUUGUUCCAAGAGUGUGUAUGAUGAUUGAUGCAGUUAAAAAGUCCGUAGUUUAUUUUUUUAAGAAGCAAUAUGAGGUGUACUGUAUAGUUGGGAGAAAGAUGAAAUGUGACGACCCUG
rnacentral:rRNA from 1 species